rnacentral:rRNA from 1 species
AUACAUGCAGUCGAGCGGACAGAUGGGAGCUUGCUCCUGAUGUUAGCGGCGGACGGGUGAGUAACACGUGGGUAACCUGCCUGUAAGACUGGGAUAACUCCGGGAAACCGGGGCUAAUACCGGAUGUUGUUUGAACCGCAUGUUCAAACAUAAAAGGUGGCUUCGGCUACCACUUACAGAUGGACCCGCGGCGCAUUAGCUAGUUGGUGAGGUAACGGCUCACCAAGGCAACGAUGCGUAGCNACCUGAGAGGGUGAUCGGCCACACUGGGACUGAGACACGGCCCAGACUCCUACGGGAGGCAGCAGUAGGGAAUCUUCCGCAAUGGACGAAAGUCUGACGGAGCAA